AUCCUUCUUGUACUCACGACUACGAUUGUCCAUUUAUUGAAUGCCCCACUCAUCAUAUGAAGUGCAUUUGUAAUAGGUGUUAUUGCGACUAGCAUUAUGGUGAAGUUUAAAAAUAAUUCUAUGCAUGUAAGACUUUAUUUGAACAUCGUAAUGUUGUUAUUUACAUAUGAUUUCUAUCAUACUUUGAUAUAUCUAUUUUCCUUACUUUUCAAUUUUUUUGACUGGCGUAGAAGCAUAUCGAUUUAUAUCAUCGUAAUGUUGUAGAUGGAGAACAAUUGUUACCUAAUUAUAAUUUAUGUGCUUCAAUGUAAUAUGAUUAUAAGAAGUGAUAAUAUACUUUCAACAUUUUUUGAAUAAAAAUUAAUGGCAUGUGAUAUAAAGUG
rnacentral:lncRNA from 1 species